rnacentral:rRNA from 1 species
CCAGCCCGCUCAGAAACUCAAAUGAAUUGACGGGGCCCGCACAAGCGGUGGAGUAUGUGGUUUAAUUCGAUGCAACGCGAAGAACCUUACCUGGUCUUGACAUCCCGGAGACCCUUAGGAAACUAGGGGGUGCUUCCAUCUGGAAGAAUCUGGAGACAGGUGCUGCAUGGCUGUCGUCAGCUCGUGUCGUGAGAUGUUGGGUUAAGUCCCGCAACGAGCGCAACCCUUGCCUUUAGUUGCCAGCAGUUCGGCUGGGCACUCUAAAGGGACUGCCGGUGUUAAACCGGAGGAAGGUGGGGAUGACGUCAAGUCCUCAUGGCCUUUAUGACCAGGGCUACACACGUACUACAAUGGCCGAUACAAAGGGCAGCGACACUGCGAGGUGAAGCCAAUCCCGUAAAAUCGGUCUCAGUCCGGAUUGGAGUCUGCAACUCGACUCCAUGAAGUUGGAAUCGCUAGUAAUCGUGGAUCAGCAUGCCACGGUGAAUACGUUCCCGGGCCUU